GAUGAACGCUAGCGGCAUGCUUUACACAUGCAAGUCGAACGGCAGCGGGGGCUUCGGCCUGCCGGCGAGUGGCGAACGGGUGAGUAAUGCAUCGGAACGUGCCCAUGUCGUGGGGGAUAACGUAUCGAAAGGUACGCUAAUACCGCAUACGUCCUGAGGGAGAAAGCGGGGGAUCUUCGGACCCCGCGCGAUUGGAGCGGCCGAUGUCGGAUUAGCUAGUAGGUGAGGUAAAGGCUCACCUAGGCGACGAUCCGUAGCGGGUCUGGGAGGAUGAUCCGCCACACUGGGACUGAGACACGGCCCAGACUCCUACGGGAGGCAGCAGUGGGGAAUUUUGGACAAUGGGCGCAAGCCUGAUCCAGCCAUGCCGCGUGAGUGAAGAAGGCCUUCGGGUUGUAAAGCUCUUUCGGCCGGGAAGAAAUCGGCGACUCUAACAUAGUCGCUGGAUGACGGUACCGGACUAAGAAGCACCGGCUAACUACGUGCCAGCCGCCGCAGUAACAC
rnacentral:rRNA from 1 species